rnacentral:rRNA from 1 species
UACGGAGGAUGCAAGCGUUAUCCGGAAUGAUUGGGCGUAAAGCGUCCGCAGGUGGCUAUGUAAGUCUGCUGUUAAAGAGUGAGGCUCAACCUCAUAAAAGCAGUGGAAACUACAUGGCUAGAGUGCGUUCGGGGCAGAGGGAAUUCCUGGUGUAGCGGUGAAAUGCGUAGAGAUCAGGAAGAACACCGGUGGCGAAAGCGCUCUGCUAGGCCGCAACUGACACUGAGGGACGAAAGCGUGGGGAGCAAACAGG